rnacentral:rRNA from 1 species
CCUACGGGAGGCAGCAGUGGGGAAUAUUGCGCAAUGGGCGAAAGCCUGACGCAGCGACGCCGCGUGAGGGAUGAAGGUCUUCGGAUUGUAAACCUCUUUCAGCAGGGACGAAGCGAAAGUGACGGUACCUGAAGAAGAAGCACCGGCUAACUACGUGCCAGCAGCCGCGGUAAUACGUAGGGUGCAAGCGUUGUCCGGAUUUAUUGGGCGUAAAGAGCUCGUAGGCGGUUAGACACGUCGGAUGUGAAAACUGGGGGCUCAACCCCCAGCCUGCAUUCGAUACGGUCUGACUAGAGUGUGGUAGGGGUAACUGGAAUUCCUGGUGUAGCGGUGAAAUGCGCAGAUAUCAGGAGGAACACCGAUGGCGAAGGCAGGUUACUGGGCCACCACUGACGCUGAGGAGCGAAAGCGUGGGGAGCAAACAGGAUUAGAUACCCUGGUAGUCCACGCCGUAAACGGUGGGCGCUAGAUGUGGGGACCAUUCCAUGGUUUCUGCGUCGCAGCUAACGCAUUAAGCGCCCCGCCUGGGGGAGGUACGGUCGCAGACUAAACUACAAGAAGUAGACGGCGUGAGACGUGCCGAACGGACGACGACGAGGGAGGUAGG